AUAAUAAAGAACACUUCAGGCAAUUUGCCUGAAGUAUUUAAAAAAAACUAAAAUAAUAAUAAUUAGUUUAAUUUGUAUCUUGGUAUGAUAGAUGCAUAUGCUGCGGAAAGCGAUGAAAUAUUGAAGUCAACCAGCAGUGGACUUGAGCUAUUGUCCAUGCAGUGAAGCAAGAAAACAGUACCGGUUAUGGAUUUCACUAGUCCCGAUACGUUUGAAUAGAACGCAAGUUCUUUGGUGUACGGCAGCUUCAAUUGGGGGUUACAUUACAAAUGGAUCACUUUGCCAAGAGGCACUUUGAAGGAAGUUGAACAUUUUAAAUGAAAUUAACUAAUUUCAUGUAAACCAAUUUAUAUACAUACAUAUACCUAUAUGUGUUCUCCUUAUAGCCACGUAUCUAUGUUAUAUCAUUAUAACGUUAGCUUUGUGUAGUACACAACGCAGAGAACGUAAAUUCAUAGAGAAGGCUCAGGAAUGAAUGAGCCGGUUAAAUGUCAAAUGCUAACAAA